UACAGAGGUCUCAAGCGUUGUUCGGAUUCAUUGGGCGUAAAGGGCGCGUAGGCGGCCUUCUAAGUCGAACGUGAAAUCCCCGGGCUCAACCCGGGAACUGCGUCCGAUACUGGAAGGCUUGAAUCCGGGAGAGGGAUGUGGAAUUCCAGGUGUAGCGGUGAAAUGCGUAGAUAUCUGGAGGAACACCGGUGGCGAAGGCGACAUCCUGGACCGGUAUUGACGCUGAGGCGCGAAAGCCAGGGGAGCAAACGGG
rnacentral:rRNA from 1 species